rnacentral:rRNA from 1 species
UACAGAGGUCUCAAGCGUUGUUCGGAUUCAUUGGGCGUAAAGGGUGUGUAGGUGGCGCCGUAAGUCGGGUGUGAAAUUUCGGAGCUUAACUCCGAAACUGCAUUCGAUACUGCGGUGCUUGAGGACUGGAGAGGAGACUGGAAUUCAUGGUGUAGCAGUGAAAUGCGUAGAGAUCAUGAGGAAGACCAGUGGCGAAGGCGGGUCUCUGGACAGUUCCUGACACUGAGACACGAAGGCCAGGAGAGCAAACGGG